CGUAACGCGUAUGCAACCUACCUCAUACUGGAGGAUAGCCCCUGGAAACGGGGAUUAAUACUCCAUAGUAUCACGAAUUCGCAUGUUUUUGUGAUUAAAGUUUUUCGGUAUGAGAUGGGCAUGCGUCCCAUUAGCUUGUUGGUGAGGUAACGGCUCACCAAGGCAACGAUGGGUAGGGGGCCUGAGAGGGUGGUCCCCCACACUGGUACUGAGACACGGACCAGACUCC
rnacentral:rRNA from 1 species